rnacentral:rRNA from 1 species
UACAGAGGUCUCAAGCGUUGUUCGGAUUCAUUGGGCGUAAAGGGUGCGUAGGCGGCGCGGUAAGUCGGGUGUGAAAUCUCGGAGCUUAACUCCGAAACUGCAUUCGAUACUGCCGUGCUUGAGGACUGGAGAGGAGACUGGAAUUUACGGUGUAGCGGUGAAAUGCGUAGAUAUCGUAAGGAAGACCAGUGGCGAAGGCGGGUCUCUGGGACGGUACUGACGCUGGAGACGCGAAAGCGUGGGGAGCGAACAGG